ACGGAGGAUCCAAGCGUUAUCCGGAAUCAUUGGGUUUAAAGGGUCCGUAGGCGGUUUAAUAAGUCAGUGGUGAAAGCCCAUCGCUCAACGGUGGAACGGCCAUUGAUACUGUUAAACUUGAAUUAUUAGGAAGUAACUAGAAUAUGUAGUGUAGCGGUGAAAUGCUUAGAGAUUACAUGGAAUACCAAUUGCGAAGGCAGGUUACUACUAAUGGAUUGACGCUGAUGGACGAAAGCGUGGGUAGCGAACAGGAUUAGAUACCCUGGUAGUCCACGCCGUAAACGAUGGAUACUAGCUGUUGGGAGCAAUUUCAGUGGCUAAGCGAAAGUGAUAAGUAUCCCACCUGGGGAGUACGUUCGCAAGAAUG
rnacentral:rRNA from 1 species